GCCUCGGAGGUGUAGUGGUAGGACGCUUCUUCGGUAUGGAUGAAACGCGGGUUCAACUCCCGCCUGAGGUC